GUGUCUAUUGAAAUGAGAAACGGUUAGCACUCCCCUUGACAAGGAUGGAACACACCGUGUCACCGUUCUCGUCGAACCCGUCGCUUGCGACGAAGGGCUCGACGAGCGAAUUAA